UCAUGGUCUUUUUUAGUAACAAACUCGCUAAUGAUAAUUUUGUCAAGAUUUUUUUGACUUUUUUCAUCUUUACCUUUUAAUGAUCAACUAACUAAAGUAUGGAAACUAAUUCAUUCCGUUUGAAAAACUUCUCCCGAUUUUGUAUCAAAACUUUUUGAAUUAAAUGGUUUUUUUGAAGAGGAUUUAAGAUUAAGAAAAAGAUCGAAAUGAUGCUUGCCGCCAUUUUUAGCAGUUAAGCCUUCUGAAGAAGAAUGAUCGCCAUGCCAUUUAAAGAUAUAGAUCAAUUUAGCUUUAAUUAAAACAUCACUAAAAUUUUGUAUUCCAUAUUGAAGUACUCAACCUUUUGUUCCAAUUUGAAAGGAUCAUUGUCUCUGGUAUAAAUUCCUCCUUCUUUAAUAUCAUCAAAACCUAUUUCGCCCAUUUCUGCACUUUGCUUUCAAGCAAUUAGUAAUAAGCUAGCUGUUUCAUCGGGCUUAGAUUCGUAAGACUUUUUGA
rnacentral:sRNA from 1 species